AACUUGCUACGAAUAGCAUGGCAUGUUAAAAAAGUCAGAACCUAAGCAAAAACGAAAUUUGAAUUGAAACAGUUGUUUCCUAAAAGUGAAAACAAGUAUUUUGAAAAAUUAGGAGCAGGGUAAUUUUAGAAGUGGGUUGGUCAUGAGAAACUGAAAAAUAUUUUAAGAAGCUUUUUAUGAGCUGCAUGUGUUGUUAUUCUGUUGCCUAGUUACCUUUUGAAAGUUUAAUGAGUUAGUGAGUGAAAGGGUGAGGCUGAUGACAGUUACAUAAAGAUCCAGCACAUUUACAAUUCUUUGUAGACAACUGGUGUUAAUAAUAGAUGCAUCGCCACUUAACAGUCCGCCCUGAUUGCUGCAAGCCUGGGAACGAGGUGCUGUGUGGAAAACAGGCACGGGGAUGGUCGGUAAACAGACUCGCUUCAUUAUCCAAUUCACUCCCCUUCGAGGGAAUCUUUACUUUUUUUCAAAAGGAAUUUGUGAUGAUCUUUGGAAAGUAGGUUCACUCAUACGUCUAGAGCAGUUUGAGCUCAGUGUACGGAGAUAGUGCGUUCCUUGAAGUAUCCAGCGUUUUGACAGGGUCUUCAUAGACAGGACUUAGGACCAUGUGAGACUUUAGAAUUUGGAUCAAAUGAAAAGAUCUUGGUAAUUUGGAAUCAUGUGAAUGGGUCUUUUACCAUGGUAACUAUUUGGAUCUUGUGAAAAGACACAUCCAAGGACACCCAACAUGCCAACAAACAUCACCUUGAAAGUACAGCCCAUGAAGACAGAGCCACAGGACAACUGCGAGCCCAGCGACUACGGCGCCAGCGGAACCGAGGGGCCACCAUCUGUUUGGCUGCAAUCUGCCGCAUCAGCUCAUCUGUCUGGAUGUCCUCGGAAAUGUCGUCCUCCUCAGGGUCAUACAGCCUUAUCGGGACAGCAGCAGGACGGAGGACGAAGCAGCUCAGCCUCUGCAUCAGGUGCUGUAACAGUUUCCAGUUGCGGAUGAGUUCCAGCUGGUCCCGGAUCGUCAUAUGUUCCUCCGACAGGCAGGGGAAGUCAUCCAGCAUGUAGCCUGAAGGGGAGACAACUCAAGGUCACAUUCUAUUUGUCUUAAUAUUCUUGGCUCAAGGUCACCCUUAAAACUACUACUACUCGUGGUAUUAAAGCUAACGAUUCACAAAAUAUUCAGUGCGUAUUGCAUUGUGAGCUGAAAUAUUUGUACCAAAUGAUAUAUAAUGAAAGUGUGUUUUUGUGUGUUUGUUAACAAAAGGUUGACUCUUUUGGAAACAAAAUGGUAUAUUGAAUUUUGGAGACACUUUGCAAAGACUCAUGUCAUGUUACAUAAAAACUUACUCUACAUAAAACAUUAACAGAAACAAUUUUGAAAUAUGUAAGUACAUGUGUGAUAUAUAAUGGUUAUUUUCAGAAACAAAUGGCAUAAGCUAAGUAUUUCCUGAGCUGCAGAACACUGCUGAACUAACAACAUAGACCUAGGCAGCUUCCAAUGUUCCAAAUUCAUCCCUGAGAAGCAUCCCAUCAAGUUUCAAGGUUCUUCAACAUGGCCUCCAUCUCGGAUGAUGUUCCGGAGGGCUCUGGGAUGCUCACAGCCUCCAGGGUUGGCUGAAUCACAGACAUUCAAACAUGUACUACUGUCACAAGAAUAUUCACAAGGAAACAUAGCUACG